rnacentral:rRNA from 1 species
CCUACGGGUGGCAGCAGUGAGGAAUAUUGGUCAAUGGGCGCGAGCCUGAACCAGCCAAGUAGCGUGAAGGAUGACUGCCCUACGGGUUGUAAACUUCUUUUAUAAAGGAAUAAAGUGAGGCACGUGUGCCUUUUUGUAUGUACUUUAUGAAUAAGGAUCGGCUAACUCCGUGCCAGCAGCCGCGGUAAUACGGAGGAUCCGAGCGUUAUCCGGAUUUAUUGGGUUUAAAGGGAGCGUAGAUGGGUUGUUAAGUCAGUUGUGAAAGUUUGCGGCUCAACCGUAAAAUUGCAAUUGAUACUGGCAGUGUGAAGUAUGGUUGAGGUAGGAGGAAUUCGUGGUGGGGAGGGGUGAUGCGGAGAUAGUAGGGAGA